GGUCCUGUUGCACAGUGGAUAGUGCGUACGCUUCCUAAGCGCAAGGUCGCUGGUUCGAUCCCAGCCAGGAUCG
rfam:Klebsormidium nitens DNA, contig: KFL_207.